AGGAUUACAUACUGUAUUUGGAAAAACUACUUUAUUCACGGUGAAACCUUCUAUGUGAUCAAUUCCAGAAAAGAAACAUCCACAUUGGGAGAAAAGGGCACUCAGUGAGGUCCCAAGAAGCAUGGCAUCUGUGUGUCCAUCUUCAGAUCUGCAGCCCGAUUGCAGCAGGCAGAAAAUGCCUUCAGAGAUUGCAGGGGUUUGCUGUCAUGCAGAAACUACCAAAGAACCUAUUGGAAAGUUCUUGGAAGAGCUGCCAGACAUUACCACGGGCAGAUUAAAAUGGUGAGCAUAUGGCCAUACAUUCACAAGAAGCUGAAUGCGAUAACUACAAAAAAUUAAACUUUCUGAUUUUUUUAUUCUUUAAAGAAAUUUGUAAUAAAAUGUUAUUUUCCACUACA
rnacentral:lncRNA from 1 species